CCUCGGCCUCCCAGAGUGCUAGGAUUACAGGUGUGAGCCACUGUGCCCAGUCUCAUGGGUCAUAUUUUAAACAUGAACAUUCUCUGGCUAGCUAAUAGCCCACACUUUUAAAACAACUGGAAUAACAACCUGGAACACAGAAUUUAUUGAACAGUAAUUGUGACUUGAAAGAGUUAAGGUAACUCCCCUAACAUCUGCCCUAUGACCAGAGAGAAGUUUAUUUAUCAGAGUACUUUGGCUGAAAAAAAUUGUAGACGCUUCUCCAGAAUUAAAUUUUUAAAGAACAUUAUGUGAAGGAAAUAAGAUCCUCACUAAAAAGGUAAAGGAGGUAUGUUUGCAUACAUGAUUGAUUGUGAACCAAAAAAAGAUCCUGGCAAUAAACGGGCCAGCAGUGGCCAUUAAAGAAGCUGUGUCCUGUGAUACCGUCAUUUUCAGAGGACUAAUUGGAGCACCCCAAAAAAUGUGGACU